AUUGAACGCUGGCGGCAGGCCUAACACAUGCAAGUCGAGCGGAUGAAGGGAGCUUGCUCCUGGAUUCAGCGGCGGACGGGUGAGUAAUGCCUAGGAAUCUGCCUGGUAGUGGGGGAUAACGUCCGGAAACGGGCGCUAAUACCGCAUACGUCCUGAGGGAGAAAGUGGGGGAUCUUCGGACCUCACGCUAUCAGAUGAGCCUAGGUCGGAUUAGCUAGUUGGUGGGGUAAAGGCCUACCAAGGCGACGAUCCGUAACUGGUCUGAGAGGAUGAUCAGUCACAAGGGAAAUGAGACACGGCCAAGACCCCUAGGGGAGGCAGAAGGGGGGAAUAUGGGAAAAGGGGAGAAAGCCUGAUCCAGCCAGGCCGGGUGGGGGAAGAAGGUCUGCGGUUGGUAAAGAAAUUUAAGUGGGGGGGAAGGGAAGUAAGUUAAAACCUUGCUGUUUGGAAGUUAAAAAAAAAAAAAGCACCGGCAAACUUCGU
rnacentral:rRNA from 1 species